UACGUAGGGGGCAAGCGUUGCUCGGAAUCACUGGGCGUAAAGGGUGCGUAGGCGGGUCUUUAAGUCAGGGGUGAAAUCCUCGGAGCUCAACUCCAGAACUGCCUUUGAUACUGAAGAUCUUGAGUUCGGGAGAGGUGAGUGGAACUGCGAGUGUAGAGGUGAAAUUCGUAGAUAUUCGCAAGAACACCAGUGGCGAAGGCGGCUCACUGGCCCGAUACUGACGCUGAGGCACGAAAGCGUGGGGAGCAAAC
rnacentral:rRNA from 1 species